UCUUGUAGCCGAAACGACACCCCCAUCUGUCUACCCACUGGCCCCUGGAUCUACCUUCAAAUCUAACUCCAUGGUAACUCUGGGAUGCCUGGUCAAGGGCUAUUUCCCUGAGCCAGUGACGGUGACCUGGAACUCUGGAGCCCUGUCCAGCGGUGUGCACACCUUCCCAGCUGUCAUGCAGUCUGGACUCUACACUCUCAGCAGCUCAGUGACUGUAUCCUCCAGCACCUGGCCCAGCCAGCCUGUCACCUGCAACGUAGCCCACCCGGCCAGCAGCACCAAGGUGGACAAGACCAUUGUGCCCAGGGACUCUGAUUGCGGUUGCAAGCCUUGUAUAUGUACAGUCCCAGAAGUAUCAUCUGUCUUCAUCUUCCCCCCGAAGCCCAAGGACGUGCUCACCAUCACUCUGACUCCUAAGGUCACAUGUGUCGUGGUAGACGUCAGCCAGGAUGAUCCCGAGGUCCAGUUCAGCUGGUAUGUGGAUGACGAGGAGGUGCACACAGCUCAGACUCACCGCCCAGAGCAGCAGUUCAACAGCACCCUCCGCUCGGUCAGUGAGCUCCCCAUCCUGCACCAGGACUGGCUCAACGGCAAGGAGUUCAAAUGCAAGGUCAACAGUGCAGCCUUGCCUGCCCCCAUCGAGAGAACCGUCUCUAAAACCAAAGGCAGACCACGGGCUCCACAGGUAUACACCCUGCCACCUCCCAAAGAACAGCUGACCAAGAGUGAAGUCACUCUGACCUGCCUGGCAGAGGGUUUCUUUCCUGAUGACAUUUACGUGGAGUGGCAGAGGAACGGGCAGCCAGCGGAGAGCUACAAGAACACUCAGCCCACCCUGGACACAGACGGGAGCUACUUCCUCUACAGCAAGCUCACUGUGAACAAGAACAUAUGGGAGACGGGAGAUAGUUUCACCUGCUCUGUGUUACACGAAGCCCUGCACAACCACCAUACUGAGAAGACCCUCACCCGAUCUCCUGGGCUGGAACUGGAUGAUUCCUGUGCUGAGGCCCAGGACGGGGAGCUGGACGGGCUCUGGACGACCAUCACCAUCUUCAUCAGCCUCUUCCUGCUCAGCGUGUGCUACAGCGCUGCUGUCACACUCUUCAAGGUAAAGUGGAUCUUCUCCUCAGUGGUGGGGCUGAAGCAGACACUGGUUCCUGAAUACAAGAACAUGAUUGGACAAGGGCCCUAG